UACGUAGGCAGCGAGCGUUGUUCGGAUUUACUGGGCGUAAAGCGUGCGUAGGCGGUUUUGUAAGUUUGGUGUGAAAUCUCCCGGCUCAACUGGGAGGGUGCGCCGAAAACUGCAAGGCUGGAGUGUGGGAGAGGUAGGCGGAAUUCCUGGUGUAGCGGUGAAAUGCGUAGAUAUCAGGAGGAACACCUGUGGUGUAGACGGCUUACUGGACCAUGACUGACGUUGAGGCACGAAAGCGUGGGGAGCAAACAGG
rnacentral:rRNA from 1 species